AUGAGAGCCGAGGCACUCUGCUGCCCAACCUGAGGGAUGGGUGGGUUAUAAAUAGAGGAAACAAGGGGAAGGGGAGAUGUUGGAGGGCUGUUUGGGGUGUGGUGGUUGGUGUCCACCAAGGGAGCACUUGGCAGUGGGAUGAGUUGUGCCAGUGUUCAGCCCUUAGGCAUUGCUCCCGUGCGGGGUCCCAGUGCGGUGCUGUGGGGGAAGUGGCGUGGGGCAGUCUGUCACCGUGCUGGGCUGGCUCCCAGGCACAUUGGCUCCAUCUGGUCCUGCAGAAUAGCCCUCCUGUUCAGCAUCGCAGUCCAGCAAAGCUCAUUAACAGCCCAUCAGUACCUCUGGCUGAUGGCUAGGAAGGGGGGAACUGAUCCUGGGAGGAUGCAAGCAGGAGCAUGGCGUGCUGCUGAGCCCUACUGUGUGCACUGGGGUGCUUUGGGGUUGAUGUGCAGGAAGAGGAUCGUGCUUGGGCAGCCCCUCUUGGGAACCCCUAAAUGAUGGCUCUGCUUCCAGAGAAGCAUAUGUGGAAGUUGCUUUUGUCUUCCCAAAAUGGAAUGGCAUUUCCUAGCCAACUGGGGUGUCAUACCGUGCUCCACGCCGUCCGACUCUGCCCAGGUCCUUUUUUGGGGCUGGGUCAUGAAAUCUGCUGUAAGUGGAGGGAGAAAUGGAAUGAUUCCAUGCAGGACGGACUGUGGGGUCCCAGUGUCGGUCUCUCUGGGUGCAAGGUUCCCUUCUGCCUCACUUCUCCCCUCAAAAUCUUAUUAGCACUUUGUUUAUUCUGUGAUCUUGUUGCCGCUCAUUUGUAAUCCCUUUCAUUUAUUAUUUUUAUUUCCAAGAUUUUUUUCUUUAAAAUUGCCUCCAUCAGCAAGGUGAGGUGAGAGGGGACCUCAGGGAUUAAAUAUAGAAGAGAGAUAUGCUGACCAAAGCAUGCUAAUGCUGGGGUCCAUCUCUUGGGCACCUUCCCACCUCCACCUGGUCCCCAGUGGCAGACAGGGAGUGCUGGGUCCUGCCCCUGUCUGGGCAAUUGCUCCAGA
rnacentral:lncRNA from 1 species